GUGCUGUGCGUUUGGAUGCUGG
rnacentral:miRNA from 1 species